AGCAGCCGCGGUAAUUCCAGCUCCAAUAGCGUAUAUUAAAGUUGUUGCAGUUAAAAAGCUCGUAGUUGAAUUUCGGGAUUUGUCGGUUGGUCGGGCUUCACUGUCCGCACUGGCCUGACGGAUUCCUACCUUCUGAAUAACCAGCAUGCUAUUAACUUAGUGCGUUGGGGAAGCAGAGCUAUUACCUUGAAAAAAUUAGAGUGCUUAAAGCAGGCUUGUGCUUGAAUAGAUUAGCAUGGAAUAAUAAAAUAGGACGGCAUGGUUCUAUUUUGUUGGUUUCUAGGAUCACCGUAAUGAUUAAUAGGGAUAGUUGGGGGCAUUAGUAUUCAAUUGUCAGAGGUGAAAUUCUUGGAUUUAUUGAAGACUAACUUCUGCGAAAGCAUUUGCCAAGGAUGUUUUCAUUAAUCAAGAACGAAAGUUAGGGGAUCGAAGACGAUCAGAUACCGUCGUAGUCUUAACCAUAAACUAUGCCGACUAGGGAUCGGACGAUGUUAAUUUUUUAAUGACUCG
rnacentral:rRNA from 1 species